rnacentral:rRNA from 1 species
AACGUAGGGGGCGAGCGUUGUCCGGAAUUACUGGGCGUAAAGCGUGCGCAGGCGGCCCGUUAAGACAGGUGUGAAAUCCCUGGGCUCAACCUAGGAAUUGCGCUUGUGACUGGCGGGCUCGAGUACGGUAGAGGGGGGUGGAAUUCCUGGUGUAGCAGUGAAAUGCGUAGAGAUCAGGAGGAACACCGAUGGCGAAGGCAGCCCCCUGGGCCUGUUACUGACGCUGAGAUGCGAAAGCGUGGGGAGCAAACAGG